rnacentral:misc_RNA from 1 species
UCCGGUUUGUCACCGGCAGUCUCCUUAGAGUGCCCAACCUAAUGCUGGCAACUAAUGACAAGGGUUGCGCUCGUUGCGGGACUUAACCCAACAUCUCACGACACGAGCUGACGACGGCCAUGCAGCACCUGUGUCCUGGUUCUCUUUCGAGCACUCUCACAUCUCUGCAAGAUUCCAGGCAUGUCAAGGGUAGGUAAGGUUUUUCGCGUUGCAUCGAAUUAAACCACAUCAUCCACCGCUUGUGCGGGUCCCCGUCAAUUCCUUUGAGUUUCACCGUUGCCGGCGUACUCCCCAGGUGGAUUACUUAUCGCUUUCGCUUGGUCGCUGACGGUCAUAUUGCCAACAACGAGUAACCAUCGUUUAUGGCGUGGACUAC